GAGGGAGAUGCUGGUACAGAGGCU
rnacentral:miRNA from 1 species